rnacentral:sRNA from 2 species
GCUCUGUAUUUGACAACUUGGACGAACAAUCCCCGGCCCAAGUGCAUGUCGGCCAUUGGAAGCAGCCACCACUGAUUCUCGCAUCUUCGGGGGCCAACACAUGGGCGCUGGAAAAGAAUGAAAUAUACAUACCUUGGGGACAGCCGACAGCAACUUUUGGCGGCAAGAUCACAUCCUGCCAAUGACGCAUCGUCGGCUUCGUCAAAGCGAAAUUCACAAGAAUGGCCGUUGCCCGGCUUACCAUUCCGAAAGAAAGACAAAGAUGAUCCGAGACGAGGGUCAGAGGAGACAGAGUUGAUGCACAGAGAAAGAACCGAUGUUUCAUCAGGAUCCACCGCCUCUCAAUCCAACUCCUUAUAUUCCGACGUGAAAACGGCCUAUGAUGGCAGGCAAAUUUCCAAUGAGCCUGAAGCAAGAACUGUCAACGCCCAUCAUAGAAGAGCGUGGAUCAGGGGAGCUUUGCUAUCUACUUACCUUGCCUGCGUUGUUCUGCUUGUCAAUAUCAUCAUCACCCUUCUUGCUACCAUAAGGGCGUACGGGAAAUACGGGAGCGUGGAAUUCAUAUCCGUACCAGUAUAUCAAGGAAAAUGUUCGGUUUCGAGAAACUGGGCUACGGGGCUACACUUCUUAAUCAACUGUUUAAGUGCGGUGACACUUGCCACCAGUAGCUAUUGCAUGCAAUGCCUAAGUUCGCCAUCCCGAGCGGA